rnacentral:rRNA from 1 species
GUCCACACCGUAAACGAUGAUUACUAGGUGUUGGAGGAUUGACCCCUUCAGUGCCGCAGUUAACACAAUAAGUAAUCCACCUGGGGAGUACGACCGCAAGGUUGAAACUCAAAGGAAUUGACGGGGGCCCGCACAAGCAGUGGAGUAUGUGGUUUAAUUCGACGCAACGCGAAGAACCUUACCAAGUCUUGACAUCCCUUGACAGACAUAGAAAUAUGUAUUCUCUUCGGAGCAAGGAGACAGGUGGUGCAUGGUUGUCGU